GUGGUGCGCAGGCGCAGUCUGCGCAGGGACUGGCGGGACUGCGCGGAGGCGACUGCAGACGUAUCGGGGGUCCGGAGCCUGUCGCGGCUGCUAAGCGCUCGGCGCCUGGCGCUGGCGCUGGCCAAGGCUUGGCCAACAGUGUUGCAAACAGGAACCCGAGGUGUUCACUUCACUGUUGAAGGAACGAGAGGGCAUCUGCUAAAGUUUCAGAUUCCAUUUCUGCUCAGUAUCCAGUAGUGGAUCAUGAAUUUGAUGCAGUGGUGGUAGGCGCUGGAGGGGCAGGCUUUGCGAGCUGCAUUUGGCCUUUCCGAGGCAGAGUUUGAUACAGCAUGUGUUACCAAGCUGUUUCCUACCAGGUCACACACUGUUGCAGCGCAGCUAGAAAAUUAUGGCAUGCCGUUUAGCAGAACUGAAGAUGGGAAGAUUUAUCAGCGUGCAUUUGGUGGACAGAGCCUCAAGUUUGGAAAGGGCAGGCAGGCCCAUCGGUGCUGCUGUGUGGCUGAUCGGACCGGCCACUCAAUAUUGCACACCUCAUAUGGGAGGUCUCUGAGAUAUGAUACCAGCUGUUUUGUGGAGUAUUUUGCCUUGGAUCUCCUGAUAGAGAACAGGGAGUGCCGUGGUGUCAUUGCACUGUGCAUAGAGGACGGGUCCAUCCAUCACAUAAGAGCAAAGAACACUGUUGUUGCCACAGGAGUCAAGAAACUUUUCUUUUGAGCUAUUGACAGCUUUUAACAAGUUAUUAUACUCCUAUGAACAAAAUUUGGAGCAUAUUUGUUUCUCUCUGCCUGAUUUCUCCUGAAUUUGGAAACUAUUUUGCCAUGGUCUCCAUGAACUGAUUUUUUUGUGCAGUGGGCAGGAAGAACCCAUCGGGCAGCUACACAUCUUGAAAGAGAAGCUCUUCCUGUGAGAUUGUUUGCUGUUGGCAUAUACAAAUGCUAGAGAUUUUUGUAUGUUGAUUUUGUAUCCUGCAACUUUGCUGAAAUUUGUUUACCAGUUCUAAUAGUUCUUUGGUGGAGUCUUCAGCUUUUUCCAAAUAUAAGAUCAUAUCAUCUGCAAACAAAGAUAAUUUGACUUCUUCCAUUCUAACUUGGAUUCCGUUUA
ensembl:lncRNA SDHAP4 SDHA pseudogene 4